rnacentral:rRNA from 1 species
ACGAAGGGGGCUAGCGUUGCUCGGAAUUACUGGGCGUAAAGGGAGCGUAGGCGGGUUAUCAAGUUGGAGGUGAAAGCCCAGGGCUCAACCUUGGAAUUGCCUUCAAAACUGAUAGCCUAGAGUAUGAUAGAGGUAAGUGGAACUCCGAGUGUAGAGGUGAAAUUCGUAGAUAUUCGGAAGAACACCAGUGGCGAAGGCGACUUACUGGAUCAUGACUGACGCUGAGGCUCGAAAGCGUGGGGAGCAAACAGGA